GACCAAAGUGUUGAGUUCAGUUCUGGGCUUUGCUCCCCAGUCCUGGUAAUUAAUCUUUGGGACAGAACAUGGCUGAAUGCAGCGGAAAUGGUGGCUGUCUUGCUACUUUGCUGUGCCUUGGCCAACAAUC